UUUCCGUAGGUGAACCUGCGGAAGGAUCAUUAUUGAAUAGGUUGAAGGGCUGUCGCUGGCCCAAAAGUCGUGCACGCCCGAGUGUGUCCUCUUGCAUAAUAAUCCAUCUCACCCUUUGUGCAUCACCGCGUGGGCACCCUUCGGGAUCAUCUCGGAGGGGGGCUCGCGUUUUCACACAAACCCCCCUUUUAAAAGUGUAGAAUGACCACAUUUAUGCAAUCAAUACAACUUUCAACAACGGAUCUCUUGGCUCUC
rnacentral:misc_RNA from 1 species